AACCCAACCCAACACAGCCCAAUCCAACACAACCCAACCCAACCCAACUCAACCCAACCCACCCAUGGUUCUGAGCUGAGUGCCCCCAGCAGUGCCCUCAGACACUGAGAUGGACGGACUCCUUCAGUCCUGCAGAGCCUUUUUCAGCUCCUGAAUCCUUUCAGGGCCCCUCUCUGAAUUCUGCUCAGCAGCUUCAGAUUCACCCUGUGGUACGAAUUCCUGAUCUGCACAAAGUACUGCUUUACUCAUCUUCCAAAGCUGCAACUCUUUCUGCAAGUUCACAGGACACUUAAAGCUUUUCCCUUGCAUAUACAAUUCAGACAUCUCCACCACAUCCCACGCAAUCAGCUAAUGUUAAGACAAUUAUCUCGGAGAAGCCCAUAUCUUCUGCUGCAUUACACUUUGCAGACUCAUCCCAUACCCCUUCUCCUGCACUCUCUGCCGGAAGAAGGUGUGCAGCAACACACCGUGGGACCCGCAGCUCUCACACAGCGCUCCAGGGCAGCACCAGGGGAGGGGUCAGGUUGGAGAAUGGGAAACAUUCCUUCUCCAGACAGCUGCCCGGGGUGGGGAGUCCCCUGGGGGUGUUCAAUGACCACAGGGACGUGGCACUUGGGGACACGGUCGGUGGGAUGGGGUGGGUUGGAUUGGGGAUCCCGGAGCUCUUUUCCACCCAGAUGACUCUGUGAGUCCAUGAGUCCCUUGGCACAGUUCUGAAGGACGGCUGGAAGUGCUGGGCUGCGGGACUGCGGGACAUCAUGGGAUGUCACAGGGAUCUAAGAACCACAUGGCUCUUAGGGAAGAUGCUCUUGGAACGGGUCCACAGGAGGGCAAUAAGAAGAUGUCAACGCAGCCCUGCCUUUAAGCAGCCCUGCAGUGAAGUCAGGGGAAGGCAGUGAGCUGCACUGCGCUGCCUGCGCUGCACUGCCCUCCUCAAAGUCUUCGUUGUGCUCCAGCUGAGUGCUUUCGUGACCUCUCCGGGCACUGAUCCUCAUCUACACAACCUGCAGCUUCCCGGUUUGUGCCUUCAGCAUAUCAGAGGAGCAGCAGCCCCCUCCAGCCCUCAAGACUCCACAGCUGGGAAACUUUCUGUUCCAAGCACAUCAUAUGGAUAGAUACAUCCUCCUGAUUUGUUCCAAACUCAGAACAGAACAUUUCUGUCCUUUUUUUUUUUUCCUUGCUUUUUGCACCAGAAUAUACAGUUUUAUCAUUUACAUAUAGAAAUGCAUCUCUACCGGAUUUUUUUUUUCUGCUUCUACUGCACUAAAAUGCCUUCUUAUCUCUACGUCUCGGCCUCUGAUAUUUCCUUUGGCUUCCCUUCCCAACCUCCUACACACCUCAGCUCGAAUUAACUGCGCUUCCUUCUCCCCUCCUUGCUAACCUUUACAUGGAGGGGAAUUUAUCAGCUCCUCCAUUAACGCACUGCAGUGGGGUGAAGUCUUGCCCAGCCAUUUUCUUCCCCUGACUUUCGGGCUGCAUUUAGCAACGUGUCCUCAAACAACCCUCGGAUUCUCUCCGUUAUGUAAAAUUGAUAUCCCCAAAGACCCAAAUCUCGGUGCUGGAGGAGAGGUGCUCCCCCACCCCGGGCUGCUCUCCGUGCUCUGAGCUCUGCACACACACGGCACCGAGCCCGGCCAGCAGAGCUCCUCCCACAGCUGCACAUCCCUAUUGAGCCGUGAGCCCUUUGGUUACGGUGUCAAAUUGAAUUCAUACAGGAGCGCAGAACGUCCCACCAACGCCAUUCCUCUGGUGGCAGAGGGAUGGAUGCGGUGCGGAGGGACCGGGACAGGCUGAGCAGCAGGACAGGAGAUCCUCAUGGGGCUCAACAGAGCCAAGUGUGAGGUCUCAUCCCUUCAGUAUAAGCUGGGGGGUGGAAGGAUGGAGCCCAGCCCUGCCGAAAAGGCCCUGGGGAUGCUGGUGGGGAGCAGCACCGCGAGGCAGCGCUGUGCCCUCACAGCACACAGAGCCAACUGCACCCUGGGGGCAUCCAGAGCAGCGGCCAGCAGGGCGAGGGAGGGGGUCUGCACCUCUGCUCUGUGCUGGGACACCUCGCCUGGAGCACCGCAGCCACGGCUGGGCUCAGUUCAGAGAGACGGGGAUCUCCUGCACAGAGCCCAGCGCAGAGCCCCAGAGAUGCCUGAAGGCCCGGAGCACCUCCUGCUGGGUGCAGGCUGAGAGCACCAGGGCUGUGCAGCUGGAGGAGAGAAGGCCGGGAGGGGAUCUGAGCAGUGCUGCUGGAUGUCUGACGGGUGGGGGUCAGGAGGAGGGGGCCGGGCUCUGUUUCAUGGUGCCCAGUGGCGGGAUGAGGGGCACAGACUGCAGCCCGGCGAGAUUCGUCCGACCACGAGGGAGAACUUCAUGCUGUGAGGGUGGCAGAGUCACAGCACUGCUGCCCAGAGAGGUGAGGGGUCUCCUCUUUUGUAAGACACCCCGGGCUCCCAUCGGCCUUCCUGGCCACCGCGGCACACCGCUGGCUCACAGUCAGCCUGCUGACCCCCAGGUCCCUCUCUGCAGAGCUCCCUUCGGUCAGCUCAGCCCCAGCUGGCGCUGAUCUCUGAAAGAGAGGUCAGGCAGUGCAAUGGGCUGCUAGGGAGGUGGUGGAGUCGCCGAGCCUGGGGGUGCUCAAGGAACGUUGUGUCGAGGGACAUAAUUUAGUGAGAACUAUCGGUGACAGGAGGAUGGGUGGACCGGAUGAUCUUGUAGGUCUUUUCCGACCUUGGUGAUUCGGUGAUGCUGCGACGCUGCGAUGCUGUGGCUGCUCCUCCCCAGGCUCAGGAUCCCAUCAGGUUCCUCCCUGCCCCACUCUCAGCCUGCUCUGCUCUCGCUGGAUGGCAGUGCAGCCCCGUGGGGCGUCAGCCACCCCUCCCAGCUUUGUGCCGCCCCCAAACUCUCUGUGGGUGCACUCAGUCCCUCAUCCAGGUCACCGAUGGAGAUGGCGAACGACACCAGACCCAGCACGCACCCCGGGAAGUGCUGCUCACUGCAGCCCCUCCAGACUCCACGCUAUUAUCGCAGCCCUCUGAGCUCUGCCCACCAUCAGCUCUCAGCCCAGCUCACCGCCCUCUCAGCCACCCCUACGCUGACGCUGUGGCUGAUGGCAUCCAACGCCGUGCUCGAGUCACAGCACCGCAUCCGCUGCUGCCCCCAGCCAGCGAUGGCAUCGCAGUUGGCUCCAGGUUGGUGCAGCGUGACUUCUCCUUGGUGGACCCAUGCUGACUUCUCCUGAUCGCCUUCUUAUCUCCCAGUUGCCAGGUGAUGGCAUUCGGGAUGAGCUGCUCCAUCUCUCAGGACGGUGAUGAGGCCGACAGGCCUGGAGAUGCCCGGAUCCUUACUGCCCUUUUGGAAACGGGGCUGACACCGGCUCUCCACCAGUCUGCAGGGACCUCUCCCAUUCUCCAGGAGCUCUCCAAGAUGACAGCAGCUCAGCGGGCACCUCUGCAGCUCCCUCAGCACUCGUGGUUUGUCCUGCUGGGGCCCAAGGAUUUGUGUGCACUGAUUUUGCCUGGACCAUCUCCAGUGAGGCAGUGGAACAGGUUGCCCAAGGAGGCUGUGGAUGCUCAUCCC